GACGAACGCUGGCGGCGUGCCUAAUACAUGCAAGUCGAACGCAGUGGGGACGGGUGAGUCACACGUGGGUAACCUCCCAUCAGAGGGGAUAACACUUGGAAACAGGUGCUAAACCGAUACUGAUGGAUGGACCCGCGGUGCAUUAGCUAGUUGGUGAGGUAACGGCUCACCAAGGCCACGAUGCAUAACCGAGCUGGGAGGGGGAGCGGUCACACUGGGACGGAGCCACGGCCCAGACUCCAACGGGAGGCAGCAGUAGGGAAUCUUCGGCUAUGGACGAAAGUCUGGCCGAGAAACGCCGCGUGAGUGAAGAAGGUUUUCGGAUCGGAAAACUCUGUUGUUAUAGAAGCGGUAUCUAACCAGAAAGCCACGGCUAACUACGUGCCAGCAGCCGCGGUAAUUC
rnacentral:rRNA from 1 species